ensembl:snRNA U5 U5 spliceosomal RNA
AUGUUCUGGUUUCUUGUCAGAACGAAUCAAUCUUUCACCUUUUACUAAAGAUUCCUGUGGAGAGGGACAGUUGUGAGUUCACAACCAAACUUUUUAAGGCCUUGUUUAGGCAGGGCU